rnacentral:rRNA from 1 species
GACGAACGCUGGCGGCGUGCUUAACACAUGCAAGUCGAACGGUGAAGCCUUCGGGUGGAUCAGUGGCGAACGGGUGAGUAACACGUGAGCAAUCUGCCCUUGACUCUGGGAUAACCUCGGGAAACCGGAGCUAAUACCGGAUAUGACAUCUGGCCGCAUGGUCUGGGUGUGGAAAGAUUUAUCGGUCAAGGAUGAGCUCGCGGCCUAUCAGCUUGUUGGNGGGGUAACGGCCUACCAAGGCGACGACGGGUAGCCGGCCUGAGAGGGCGACCGGCCACACUGGGACUGAGACACGGCCCAGACUCCUACGGGAGGCAGCAGUGGGGAAUAUUGCGCAAUGGGCGAAAGCCUGACGCAGCGACGCCGCGUGAGGGACGAAGGCCUCGGUUGUAA